AUGGAUAAGGAAAUUAUUGGCAUCAUAUAUGACCGCAAGCUUCCCAACCCGGGAGUCACAGGGGUGAAAUUUCACACUUUUACGCUCUUAAGAGGGGUACUCCGACGUCGACAGCCUCGACUAGAACCACACAGGUUCCAGAAGAGCAGAGCUCUUGUACCCACUAAGACCCGGACACCUGGACCUACUGAUGUCGGUCGCUCCUACGGAUCCAUCACCGACACGUUCCCGAACAAGGUCCGUCCUUAG
rnacentral:rRNA from 1 species